GAAUCCGGGAACUGAUCAGUGAGGACAUGCGCGAACGCUGAUU
rnacentral:misc_RNA from 1 species